rnacentral:rRNA from 1 species
CCUACGGGUGGCAGCAGUGAGGAAUAUUGGUCAAUGGGCGGAAGCCUGAACCAGCCAAGUAGCGUGCAGGAUGACGGCCCUACGGGUUGUAAACUGCUUUUAUACGGGAAUAACGCGCCUUACGUUUAGGGCUUUGCAUGUACCGUAUGAAUAAGGACCGGCUAAUUCCGUGCCAGCAGCCGAGGUAAUACGGAAGGUCCGGGCGUUAUCCGGGUUGUAUGGGUUUAAAGGGAGCGUAGGCCGCAUGUCAAGCGUGCUGUGAAAUGUCCGGGCUCAACCCGGGCCUUGCAGCGCGAACUGGCGUGCUUGAGUCCGCGGAAAGCAGGCGGAAUUCGUCGUGUAGCGGUGAAAGGCUUAGAUAUGACGAAGAACCCCGAUUGCGAAGGCAGCUUGCUGCAGCGGAACUGACGCUGAUGCUCGAAAGCGCGGGUAUCGAACAGGAUUAGAUACCCGUGUAGUC